rnacentral:sRNA from 1 species
CAGCGCUUGAGAUCCUCUCCGCGCCCGCCACCCCGCAGGGUGCCCCGCGCCGUUCCCGCCGCCCCCGUUGCGGGCCCCUGCACCCCGAGCAUCCGCCCCGGGUGGCACGUCCCCGAGGCCACCAGGCCGGCCCCGUCUCCCCAUCCGUCUAGUCCGCUCGCGGUGCCAUGCCAUUCCUCGGGCAGGACUGGCGGUCCCCCGGGCAGAACUGGGUGAAGACGGCCGACGGCUGGAAGCGCUUCCUGGAUGAGAAGAGCGGCAGUUUCGUGAGCGACCUCAGCAGUUACUGCAACAAGGAGGUAUACAAUAAGGAGAAUCUUUUCAACAGCCUGAACUAUGAUGUUGCAGCCAAGAAGAGAAAGAAGGACAUGCUGAAUAGCAAAACCAAAACUCAGUAUUUCCACCAAGAAAAAUGGAUCUAUGUUCACAAAGGAAGUACUAAAGAGCGCCAUGGAUAUUGCACCCUGGGGGAAGCUUUCAACAGACUGGACUUCUCAACUGCCAUUCUGGAUUCCAGAAGAUUUAACUACGUGGUCCGGCUGUUGGAGCUGAUAGCAAAGUCACAGCUCACAUCCCUGAGUGGCAUCGCCCAAAAGAACUUCAUGAAUAUUUUGGAAAAAGUGGUACUGAAAGGUGAGCCUUCUCUCACUCUCUCACCCCUUUUUAUAGGCAUGGAGGUGGGCAGAUGGAUUUUCCAAUGAAGUGGACGUGUCAUUAGACUUAAAGACAUGUGAAUGGAUGGAAAUGAAUAACUCCAGCUACAUUUUAGAGACACUAAAUUCCAGUUCGGAAAGGGGUACAACUCAUCCUCAUGGCAAAGGUCCUUGAAGACCAGCAAAACAUUAGACUAAUAAGGGAACUACUCCAGACCCUCUACACAUCCUUAUGUACACUGGUCCAAAGAGUCGGCAAGUCUGUGCUGGUCGGGAA